GACGUAGGGUCCAAGCGUUGUCCGGAUUUAUUGGGCGUAAAGGGCCCGUAGGCGGCUUGGUAAGUCGGGUGUGAAAACUCUGGGCUCAACCCAGAGAGGCCACCCGAUACUGCUAUGGCUUGAGUCUGGUAGGGGAGUGCGGAAUUCCUGGUGUAGCGGUGAAAUGCAUAGAUAUCAGGAGGAACACCGGUGGCGAAGGCGGCACUCUGGGCCAGUACUGACGCUGAUGGGCGAAAGCGUGGGUAGCAAACAGG
rnacentral:rRNA from 1 species